rnacentral:rRNA from 1 species
UACGAAGGGGGGCUAGCGUUUGUUCGGAAUUACUGGGCGUAAAGCGCACGUAGGCGGGUUGUAAGUAGGGGGUGAAAUCCCAGGGCUCAACCCCUGGAACUGCCUUCUAAACUGCAAGCCUGGAGGUCAGGAGAGGCGAGUGGAAUACCGAGUGUAGAGGUGAAAAUUCGUAGAUAUUCGUCAAGAACACCAGUGGCGAAGGCGGACUCACUGGCCCGGCUACGUCGU